rnacentral:rRNA from 1 species
GAUGAACGCUGGCGGCGUGCCUAAUACAUGCAAGUCGAGCGAACAGACGAGGAUCUUGCUCCUCUGACGUUAGCGGCGGACGGGUGAGUAACACGUGUAUAACCUACCUAUAAGACUGGUAUAACUUCGGGAAACCGGAGCUAAUACCGUAUAAUAUAUUGAUCCACAUUGGUCAUUGGUGAAAUUCGGUUGUUGGGGCUGUUAUAGAUGGUUCCCGGCCGCAUUAGCUGGUUGUUAAGGUAAAGGCUUACCAAGGCAACGAGGCGUAGCCGACCUGAUAGACUGAUAGGCCACCCUAGAGCGGAGCCAGGCUCCAGACUCCUACGAGAGGCAGCAGUCGGGAACCGUCCGCAAUGGGCGGAAACAUGACGCAGCAAGGCCAAGUGAGUGAUGACGGUCUUGGGAUCGUAAAACUCUGUUACUAGGGAAGAACAAAUGUGGAAGGAAAUAUGCCCGUCUUGACGGUACCUAAUAAGAAAGCACCGGCUAACUACGUG